GACGAACGCUGGCGGCGUGCUUAACACAUGCAAGUCGAGCGGAGCGGCGAACGGGUGAGUAACGCGUGAGUAACUGCCCCCCUCUCUGGGAUAACAGUUGGAAACGGCUGCUAAUACCGGAUAGUGGGGACUGACUUGCUUCCUAUCCGCUUGUGGGUGGGGUAGUGGCCUACCAAGGCGACGACGGGUAGCCGGCCUGAGAGGGCGACCGGCCACAGUGGGCUGAGAUACAGGCGAUACCCAUACGGUAGGCAGCAGUGGGGAAUAGUGAACGAGGGGGGAAACCCGGAUGCAGCACCGCCGCGUGGGGGAUGACGGCCUACGGGUUGGAAACCGUUUUCAUCCAUGACGCGGUAGUGGCAGAAGAAGCACCGGCUAACUACGUGCCAGCCGCCGCGGUAAUAC
rnacentral:rRNA from 1 species